AAUUGGUCGAUUCCAGACGAAGUCUAAUCCUCGGAUUUCGAGAAUUCACUUCCCUUACAUGUGAUCUCAGCUGACGGCGUUUCUGUUGAUUUGGAAAAGGUGGAGGUAACAAGGAAUUGGCCUCGCCCGACAAAUAUUACUAAGGUCAGAAGCUUUUUGGGCCUUGCUGGCUAUUAUGGACGGUUUGUGGAAGGAUUUGCUAAAAUCUUUCUUCCACUAACGCAUCUUACUCAAAAAGGGGUCAAGUUUGUGUGGAGCGAGGAUUGUGAUUAGGGCUUUGAGGAAUUAAAGAAGAUAUUGACCACGGCUCCUGUCCUUGCUUUACCUACUCUUGGAGAGAGUUUUGUGGUGUAUAGCGAUGCUUCGCGAUUGGGUCUUGGGUGCGUGUUGAUGCAACGCGAGUAAGUUAUUGCUUAUGCUUUCCAGCAGUUGAAAAGUUAUGAGAAGAAUUAUCCCACUCAUGACCUGGAGUUAGCUGCUGCGGUCUUCGCUCUCAAGUUGUGAAGACAUUACUUGUAUGGCGAGCGUUGCGAAGUCUACACCGAUCACAAGAGCCUCGAGUUUGUAGUAGGUGAUAAGGUAUUUUUGAAAGUCUCCCCAAUGCGAGGCGUGAAGCGGUUUGGAAUGCAAGGGAAGUUAAGUCCUCGCUAUGUAGGACCGUAUGAGAUUUUGGAUCGGGUUGGCCCUGUCGCUAAUCAGUUAGCGUUGCCACCUAGACUUGCGGGAGUGCACAAUGUAUUCCAUGUAUCUACACUCCACAAGUAUGUCUCCAAUUCUAUGCAUGUGCUCUAAUAUGAACCACCCAAGCUUCGAGAGGAUAUGAUGUACGAGUUCCCUCUUUGUAUACUAGAUCAUGAGGAGAGGAAGCUACGGAAUCGUGUGAUUCCGUAUGUUAAAGUUCAGUGUAGCAAUCAUAACGAGCGAGAAGCUACUUAGGGGUUCGAGAGUGAGAUGCGUGACAAGUAUCCCUAUCUCUUUGCGGAGUCUAAUUGAGGUAUGACUUUAAGUUUCGAAAGCAAAACUUCUUUAAGGGGGGAUGGAUGUAGUGUACCGAAUCCUCGAUGCGCCAUACCGAACUUUAGUCAAAUUGACCGAAGUGUGGUAAUGGACGGUUUGCAGAGGUCCGUUAAAUGUUCCUAUAAUACACUGAACUUUAGCAAAUUGCGAAGUUCGAGUGUUAGAAUAGCAAUUGGAACUAUUCUACAACUUUCGAAGGAUUGUCGAGAGGUAUUCGGCAAGUUACUUGAGCGAACAAGUGGCCGAAAGAGCAAAAGUGCAUUGCAAAAUGCAGAUUCUGCACUUUGUAUAGGGUACCGGUACCAGCAUGGUUCAGCACCGGUACCAGCACAGUAACUGCGUGGCAGCAAGGCUGUUUUGGUCUUUUCCUUCUUCAGCCUUGUUCUUCUCCUUCCUAGCUCGACUCCCAGCUUAUCAUUAUCAGGUUUAAGGCCAGGAACCGAGUAAGAACACCUUUCUUACUCUCUCUCUAGGUUUUCUCCAAUUUUGAGUAGAAACCAAGGGAUUUGAGCUUGUCUCUUUUCCUUUUUGAUUGUUAGCUGGUUGGGAGGCCUUGGAGCUGUGAUUUAUUGGUGGAGAGAAGAGUUUUGGAGGCAUUUCGUAGCUCUAUUACAGCAGGUAGCUAAGUUGAGGUUGUAAUGAGGUGAGCUACUCGACUUUUCUUUAGCUUAAGGCUAUAGUAGAGAAUUUGAGCUUGUUCUUUGCUCUUGCUGCCAGCUAAUUUGAGAAAGCUUACAGCAGCUAUAGAAGGAGUAUUUUGGGCUGUGUUUCUCAAGAUUAACUCAGGGAGUACCUACAUUAAAGUUUGGAAAUCAGGUUGUGUGAACUUUGUUAGCUGAAUUUAGUGACCCUUGUGAGCUGGUUUUGGUGUGCUUCAACCUGAGUUGGAGCUGUGUACGGUUCGUAGCGGACUACUUGAGCUCUUUGGCUAAGAUUUGGAAGCUUUUAAAGGUUGGAUUUGGUGCUCCAACCUGAGCCGAAAUAGGGAUUCAAGCUAUAGCACUACCUUAGGAGUAUUUGAAGGCUUCGGAUCAUCUUAAGCGGAGUCUUGGUGAUAUUUAAAGGCUAGUUUGAGGUGCUUCAACCUGAUUUGAAGUAAGGUUCUAGUAGGAAUCCUAAACUAGUAUUCUUGCUAUUGGAAGCUAAAGAAUAUCUUCACUCAUGGGAGCGACGAGGAUCGACAACGAUAUGUUUUGUGCAGCGCCUUCCACCGCGGGAAAGGCUAGGAUUCCCGGCGAGGGGUCAACGACUAGCUAGAGCCAUCUCGUUGUUAAAUAGAUAAACCUCUAUCAGUUUAUUCUGGUGUGUUCAGCGUUGUAUAUUGGUCUUGUAGAAUGUACUUUACUCUUAAGUUGUAAUAAGGUUCUAUGUUGUAUAA